rnacentral:rRNA from 4 species
CAGUGAUAAACUGGAGGAAGGUGGGGAUGACGUCAAGUCAUCAUGGCCCUUACGACCAGGGCUACACACGUGCUACAAUGGCGCAUACAAAGAGAAGCGACCUCGCGAGAGCAAGCGGACCUCAUAAAGUGCGUCGUAGUCCGGAUUGGAGUCUGCAACUCGACUCCAUGAAGUCGGAAUCGCUAGUAAUCGUGGAUCAGAAUGCCACGGUGAAUACGUUCCCGGGCCUUGUACACACCGCCCGUCACACCAUGGGAGUGGGUUGCAAAAGAAGUAGGUAGCUUAACCUUCGGGAGGGCGCUUACCACUUUGUGAUUCAUGACUGGGGUGAAGUCGUAACAAGGUAACC